rnacentral:rRNA from 1 species
CUACGGGAGGCAGCAGUGGGGAAUAUUGGACAAUGGGCGCAAGCCUGAUCCAGCCAUGCCGCGUGCAGGAAGAAGCAUCUAUGGUGUGUAAACUGCUUUUGUACAGGAAGAAACAGCUCUUCGUGAAGAGCCUUGACGGUACUGUAAGAAUAAGGAUCGGCUAACUCCGUGCCAGCAGCCGCGGUAAUACGGAGGAUCCAAGCGUUAUCCGGAAUCAUUGGGUUUAAAGGGUCCGUAGGCGGUUUAAUAAGUCAGUGGUGAAAUCUGGUCGCUCAACGAUCAAACGGCCAUUGAUACUGUUAGACUUGAAUUACUAGGAAGUAACUAGAAUAUGUAGUGUAGCGGUGAAAUGCUUAGAUAUUACAUGGAAUACCAAUUGCGAAGGCAGGUUACUACUAGUGGAUUGACGCUGAUGGACGAAAGCGUGGGGAGCGAACAGGAUUAGAAACCCCAGUAGUCCU